UUUAAAUUUAUUAUUUUUUCAAAAUCCCUCUCGUAAAAGUUGAAGCACAUUUAUAUCGUGGCCUAACCUAAAAAGGAUUCCACAUCCUAAUACGCCAUAUAUGGCUAUGAUUUUAUUAUAUGUGUGGCUGUGAAUAUUAUUGAUCGGCUAAAGAGGAUUCAACUGUACGCUGCCCCGUCAUUAACGCUAUGUCGUUUAGCGGUCAUAUUUUCCAAUUGAUAGAUAUGCCGAUUUGUGAAAACGAAAAGAGACUCCACAGCAAUCAAAUAUAGACUUUUAAAGAUACUCUCUUUUCUGUUAACCUAAUAUAUUUCAAAAA
rnacentral:misc_RNA from 1 species